UACGUAGGGUGCAAGCGUUAAUCGGAAUUACUGGGCGUAAAGCGUGCGCAGGCGGUUUUGUAAGUUUGUCGUGAAAUCCCCGGGCUCAACCUGGGAAUGGCGAUGAAGACUGCAAGGCUAGAAUCUGGCAGAGGGGGGUAGAAUUCCACGUGUAGCAGUGAAAUGCGUAGAGAUGUGGGAGGAACACCGAUGGCGAAGGCAGCCCCCUGGGUCAAGAUUGACGCUCAUGCACGAAAGCGUGGGGAGCAAACGAGGAU
rnacentral:rRNA from 1 species